rnacentral:rRNA from 1 species
GAUGAACGCUAGCGGGAGGCCUAACACAUGCAAGCCGAGCGGUAGAGUCUCUUCGGAGCCUUGAGAGCGGCGCACGGGUGCGGAACACGUGUGCAACCUGCCUUUAUCUGGGGGAUAGCCUUUCGAAGGGAAGAUUAAUACCCCAUAAUAUACUGGAUGGCAUCAUCUGGUAUUGAAAACUCCGGUGGAUAGAGAUGGGCACGCGCAAGAUUAGAUAGUUGGUGAGGUAACGGCUCACCAAGUCAGCGAUCUUUAGGGGGCCUGAGAGGGUGAUCCCCCACACUGGUACUGAGACACGGACCAGACUCCUACGGGAGGCAGCAGUGAGGAAUAUUGAACAAUGGGUGAGAGCCUGAUCCAGCCAUCCCGCGUGAAGGACGACGGCCCUAUGGGUUGUAAACUUCUUUUGUAUAGGGAUAAACCUAGAUACGUGUAUCUAGCUGAAGGUACUAUACGAAUAAGCACCGGCUAACUCCGUG